rnacentral:rRNA from 1 species
UCCGGAGAGUGCGAACGUUGUUCGGAUUCACUGGGCGUAAAGGGCACGUAGGCGGCUUGGCAAAUCGGUCGUGGAAUCCCGACGCUUACCGUCGGAACGGCGGCCGAAAAUACCGAGCUCGAGGGCGUGAGGGGUCACUGGAACUCCUGGUGAAGCGGUGAAAUGCGUAGAUAUCAGGAGGAACGCCGGAGGCGAAAGCGAGUGACUGGCGCGUUCCUGACGCUGAGGUGCGAAAGCUAGGGGAGCAAACAGG